UUGUAUAAUUUGAUUAGCCGGGGGCGACUUGUUUUUUUGCCUUUAGUAGUAUAUAAUAAUAUAGCUAGCCGUAAUGCAGGACUGGAUUAUGGCAGUCUUGUGGGGCUCGUGCAAUGGAAGCCUGUGAAUCGUGUCAGGAUCGAGAGAUAGCAGCACUAAGCGGUUACUUUCAUGUGCCACGAGGGAACCUAUAAGGCUGUCAUAAUCGAGUGUUGUGACGGCUUUUUUGUUUAUAAGA
rnacentral:SRP_RNA from 2 species